rnacentral:rRNA from 1 species
AACGAACGCUGGCGGCAUGCCUAACACAUGCAAGUCGAACGAGAGCUUCGGGUCUAGUGGCGCACGGGUGCGUAACGCGUGGGAAUCUGCCCUUUGGUUCGGAAUAACAGUUGGAAACGACUGCUACUACCGGAUGAUGACGAAAGUCCAAAGAUUUAUCGCCAGAGGAUGAGCCCGCGUAGGAUUAGCUAGUUGAUGUGGUAAAGGCGCACCAAGGCGACGAUCCUUAGCUGGUCUGAGAGGAUGAUCAGCCACACUGGGACUGAGACAGGGCCCAGACUCCUACGGGAGGCAGCAGUGGGGAAUAUUGGACAAUGGGCUAAAGCCUGAUCCAGCAAUGCCGCGUGAGUGAUGAAGGCCUUAGGGUUGUAAAGCUCUUUUACCCGGGAUGAUAAUGACAGUACCGGGAGAAUAAGCUCCGGCUAACUCCGUGCCAGCCGCCGCCGUAA